CUCUUCUCAUGAGCACCUGUCCAAACAGUGACCGUGUAUGGAUUCGCACAAGAAGUAGAGCCAAGUCACAGUCAAACAGGCACCUACCUCCCUCCACCUCAGUGGGACUUUGUCCAUGUCUGAUGUGAAACAAAA
rnacentral:snoRNA from 1 species